rnacentral:lncRNA from 1 species
CAAGUGUAUAAUUAGCAGCAACGAAUACUCCUUCAGUUUCUUCCUUCACAAAAACAGUAACCAAACAACAUCUAAGUCGUCAUCGAAACUCAGAAACUAGCAACUAAGCAGAAUACUAACUUUCAGAAAUCAAAAAUCAACUCACCUAUCAAUCAAAAGGGUUCAUGGCAGAAUUGAGGCUCAACUUAACUCCUCAGCUAAGAACACCACAGCUGCUAGCCCUCUCCUUUCGAUAUAGUCCUUAACCCGAGACACAGUAGCCAAAACAAGGGAAAUCCUUACCCUUGUCAACCAACACAGUAGCUUCGCUUCGCUGCUCCAACUCCUAAUCCGUCAUGGCGUCGACUUGUAGCAGAAAACAACCGAUUAAUACCACCUAUAGCCCAGUAACAACAACAAGCAACCCAAAAACACAACCCUUACUUUAAUUAACUCCCUCCAAGGCCAGCUUAGUAGUUUUCUUCCUUUCCAUAAUCAAAUCUAGUGCUUAAUAUCACCCUCCACAGCAAGCUCGUCUUCCAAUAGAACGUCUCUUUUUCUGUGAAUCCAUCAAGUCAUUGCUAUUUCAAUCUCAGCUUUGUCGUUUCUCCAUCCAAAAAUGCAAACUCCAUAGACCUCACACAACCAAAAGUCAAAAUAACCUACUUCAGAUCAGUCGGCAGAGUUAGGAGCGUGCGACAAGAACACAGAUGCUUGACGCCAACUAGACUCGACGCUUGUCGUUGAUAUGGGUCGGGGUCGGGUCAAACUUUGUUGCUGGUUUGGUGGGUGGCUUGGUCGGGUCAACAAGCAUACUAGGCCGCGGCGAAUACUUAUACAUGUCUUUCUUUUCUUUUUUUCUUUUUUUCUCAUUCU